CACUACAAAAAGAAGAUUCCUAUAUAAUAUGCUCCUUCUUUGGUUUUGUAGGCCAUGCACUUAGCAUAAUUCUUUGGGUUUUUUCACCUAAGGAAACCUGGAGAAAGACACUCUUCUUCCAUGUGUGAGAGAAACUUCUUCAGUGAUGAAACUGCCAAAGCUAAACGUAACAUAAGCAGCAAAUAUACACAUAUUCUGGGAAAAUAUGCUGAUACCCAAGAAGAGGGCAGCUGUAUCAAGAAAGAGUGAGGUGAACAUGUGAGCAAAACAUCUCUUCCCCCCUUUUACUGGUUUAUCAGUUGGAUGUAUGCUUAUAGUCCUUGCAAAGAAUUCAUUAUUUGGCUGUUUGGGCAGCCUUGAAACAAGGAGCCAUUACACACCUACUGUACAAAACAUGGUAUGAAUUUUGGCUUAAGUCAUUCUAUGAGCAAGAGUUUGUAAGUAUCAAUUUUUCAGAGUCUGGAAUAUUCUCUGGUGAUUUGAAAGUCACGCCAUGGAACAUGGCUGCCUAUUCCUGAGAAAAAAAUGAAUUACAUGGAACAAAUGGACUUACUUAGAAGAAGCAAAAUAAAAAUACUGGUUUACUUAAUAAAGGAAAUAUUUGGGUAGAUAUUUGUAUGAAUUAAAAACGCUACUAGCCAUUUUGUUCAAUGCAAACAAACCAUAAUCCAU